UUCCCAACUCAGGGAUUGAACCCCGGUCUCCUGCAUCACAGGUGGCUUCUUUACUGUCUCUGCAACAAGGGAAGCCCUUCAGUUCAGGUAGACCUUGAUAACCAGCAGCCUGAAUGAACUAAGACAGUGGGGAUGAGAUGAGCAUGGCAGUCCCAGGAGAGGAUUCCUGCGUGCUUCUACUAAACACAAUCUAGGAUUACCACCCUUUCUCAGUUCUCAGAAACAGAUCUGAUUGGACCAAUUCGACUUACAUGGUCACCCCAGUCAAUUGACUCUUGCUGAGAGUCUGGAUCCCAUGGGAUAAACAUGGCUGCUUUGAGUAACUACAAAAAAUGAAGGCCAGUACAAACUGGACUACACUAAUGCCACAGUUCCUUCACA